GCAGAUUUCCCCCUCUCUUUUGGCUGCUGUUGAACAGCAUCAGUUUCAGGACCACACAAGGAGCUGUGUUGACAGCUCAGAAAUGUGCAGGAGAGGCAGAGUAAAGAGGAGAGUUGCUAGGAUGUGAUGAAGGCUCUGAAAGGAAAAAAAUAAAUUAACAUCAAAUGGGCUUCUCCUCCUCCCACUCUGCAUACAGGAAGUUUUAAGGAGACAACAGGACACGGCUGCUCACACUUUCCUGAGGAAGGAACACAGACAAGGGAAGAAAAACUGAAUUCAGCAGCAUGGAGCUGCUGAAAAACAAGGCUCACUGCCCCCUCCCCUCUGAUAUUAGCCAGGAAUUAACAAAAAAGCCUAGCAGAAGCUUAUGCUUGAUUUUGGACCUUGGGCAAAUCUAACCAUAUUCUGAUAAGGAAGAUUUGAAGGAGCAGAAUAAGGAGGCAUAAUGACUAUUCCAACAUCAAGAGGUGAAAAGUGCAAAGAAAUGGCAACAUUAAACCUUUUAGACAUGGAUGGUCACUCCACCACUUCCCUGGGCAGCCUGUUCCAAUGCUUGACAACCCUUUUGGAGAAGACAUUUUUACCUAAUAUCCAACCUAAACCUCCCCAAGUGAACUUAAUGGUCUUGGAAACCUCAUGAGAAUAAUGCUGCAGCAAGGUGAAGGAGAGGAAAUAAAAAUUCAUGGCCAGGUUGAUAAUUGCUGAGUGGCACUUUGUGUAUAAGUACUUCAUGAUUAUCCAUGUCCCUGCUCCUGCUGAACAAUUCAACCCCAUCUGGGAAGGGCUCUGGAUUUACUGGAGACCUACAGCAGGCACUCUCCCUUAAUCUCAUUAUUUCUUUCCUUUUUCCCCCCCCACAAAUUUAAUGUUGUGAAUCAGAAGUAAAUAACAGCAAAACAUGUUUGGAAACUGAGGAGUAAAAUUGAGAAACAUGAGGAAACGUGGGUCAUUUCUUGAUGAUCCUUGUUUUCCAGAAGAGCAACAGUUCCCUCCAGGUAGGGAACCUGAAUGGCUUUCUGCCACACAACAGGCACAUUUCAAGGGCACUUUAAAAAGCUGUAAUUGCUCAGAAAGGCUGGUAAUUCUUGCACAUCUCAGACUUUCCCAGCUGCUCAUGUUGGGCUUGGAGAGAGAGAAGAUCCCAAACAGGGAUCUGUGGGAGUGUGGGCUCUGCUGUGCUCCUUGGCUAGUGCUGUACCAUGGGUAGCUGUCAAUGGGUGGAAGUAAAUCUAUUCCUGUGGCCAUUGUAAUGUCCAUAAAGGGGCUACAGAAAUAAAGUAACACCACAGCACUGUGGCCUUGCCUUUGAAUACACUCUUAAAGAUAUAAUUAAAACCACCGAGCUUAUUUCAGCCAAAGUUCGUAAGGGAUGGGUCUGGCAUCAUGCCCAUUGCAGGAAGGCUAAUUACACCAUAAAUUAAACUUUUUUUUUUCCUAACCAAACAUUAUGACCUUUAAUAAAAUUGUUUUUACAACCAGCUGUCAAUAAAUCAUCCAGGAAAGCUAGUGAGAAAUGUUCUGUGAACACUCCACUUCUGUGAAUUUCAUUAGCUGCAGUUUAUUUGAUUUUUUGUGAGCUAUGAUGGUUUUUAAACCUCAAAUUAAAAGCCCCGAACCAUAAAAACUAAUUCAAGAACAUUAGCAUCUUGGUCUCUGAAAAUGAGCCUCCCUAAUUGCAGAAAUUAGUCAAGAUUGUAUAACGAUCAGGAGGUCAUUAAAAAAAAGAAUAGUGAGUAGGCUGUGCUUGAUGCUUGACCCAGCUACAGCAGCUCCAGAAAAGCUUUUUUUUAAUACAUCCUUAAUGGAAGAAAACUGUCUCCUGGUAGAUGGAUUUGAAAGCACUGUGAAAGCCUUUUAACCCAGAGCUUUGGUUCCUGAGACAUCACUUUCCUGGCCUUGUUUAUCCUGCCAGGCGCAUCAGGACUUGAGCCUGGACACGUGCAGGAAGUUUUACUGCCUGCUGUACCCUCGUGUCUGCAGCAGUGAAGUAUGAGGCAGUGUCAACAGGCUUUCCUUUAGGACCUCUUUUUGUUUGGCAUUCUUAAGGCUCCUGUACUGCUUCAUGGUAAUUACAAAUAUUUGCAAGAAAUAUACUAUACUGCUUGAUUUGUGGCUUGAAGGUGGACAUAUUUUAAAGCAAGGCAUUUUUAUUAGAUUGGUACCAGAAAAUGAAGCUGUUAACAUUCUACUCCUCUGCCUCAUAAAGCUCUUCUAAGUAGAGGAGUGGGGCUAUUUGGUGUUGUAGAAACAUCUAGAAAGCCUUUAGGUUUGAAUCUGAUAAGAAAAGAUGGCAAUCCUUAUUCCCAGCUCCUUUUUGGAACUGUGGGUUUCCCCACAUUUCUGUUUUCUGUUCAUCUGACUUUCCACAGCUCACUUAUGUGGAAUAUGUAUCACAAAAAUGGGAUACACCUUGCUAAGCCCCAUGUGGCUUCCAUGAGUCCCUGUUCAAGCAGUUUCUGACAUCUCACAUACACAUCUCUAUUCCUGCCAAGGCUGUACAUUCAGAAGGUUCCCCAGGAGCUCAUCUGUAGAGUGUGCCCGAUCCCUCAUCAUAUUUUGUUUUAGGGACCACAAAAUCAAUAUUUAAUUUAAAGGAGAAGACGAUACUUUCUAUCACCUACUUUUUAUUAGUAAAUUUUAAAUAUUACCUAUUUCCCUGCACUCUCCCUUUUUUUCCUUCCAGGCAUUUUUAUCCUUUUUCCUGCCUAUUGUCACAAGCAUUUGUUCAUUGUCUGAAUCAAAGGUCUGUAGUCAUGUUUAUACUAAAAAUAUGAGAAAAUAAUGUAAAAAGACUUUGAGUCUUUAUUUCUCAUUGCGGGUUCCCUGGGAAAUUUUUAGGGAACUUUUGAGAUACCCACACUCAUUUCAUGAGCUCUUCUGAGUCUUAGUCUGAGACACCAAUUUCCCUGCUGCAUGUUUUUCUCCUCUGGCUCUCACAAAUAGGUCCAUUCACUUAUUUUUUGCCAUACAAGCAUGUACACUGCCAAAAGCAGCCUGUCAAACACAAAUACUGUAAUGUUGUCAUUCACAUUGUUCCCCAGCUUCCAGCCCCCCAUGCACCAGUGUUCCCAUGUUUAUCUAUGGAAUAGUGAUGGAAGUGACAGGUUUUAUUGUGUGAUUUGAUGUUGCAGUGUGGGUUCCCUUAGUAUGCUAAUAUAUUGUAGCCUUGUCAUUUCUGGAGAAAACAAGUUUCUGUUUAUUCCUCAUAUUUGAUUUUUAGUGAGACUGUUAUUAUAACUUUACUGAUGAUCUUUAAUAUUUUAAGAAUUUCAGUUAAAAAAGGGUGGGUGGUUUCUGCAGGUAUUUAUGACAUUUUCCCAUGCCCCUAUGACAUGGAACUGCCAUUUAAAUGUCUUGGCAAAACAGUUUGAACUACUGUCCCACCCCAAUUAAACCCUGAAACAGAAACUCUAAACUCUCCUGUGAGUAAAAUAAAUCAAUUAUAUAUUAGCAAGAUGCAGGCUACUGAUGAGGGCAAGAGAAAUCAGAAUGUAUAAAUAUGAGUUACUUGAACUCCAUGAAACACACACGUCUGCAUGCACACACACACAUAAUGUUGAACUUGAUCUGGACUUUUUCCUUCUGGCUUCAUUAAUCAACUGGCCAGUUAAUCUGAAAUAUUUCAUGUCAGCUUCACAGAUCUGUUUUAUGUAUAUACAUUUUUCAGUUUUUAUUUUGUUUGAGGGUUUUUAGUAUUACUUGGCUUCCCCUUUCAUUAUUCUUGAACACUUAAGGUUGAAAAAGUAAAUUACAGACCCCCAUGGACUGAUGCAACACAAGAAGGCAGAAGUUUUACACUGCCUUCUCUUUUACACUACAUUCUCAGGUCACACAUUGUUUGUAAACUGAAUGUAAUGAGUCCAGUAAAAUGCUUUACAAAAAUUACCUAUUUCAUAUAGUGGUAGGCAUCUCAUUCUGCAACCAUGUUUAUUGUAUGUACAAGUCAUAGACACUUCAGAUGAACAGCCCCUAUUUAGUUCAUGUUAAGUACUAAGUUGGAUUGAUAUAGCUUUAUCCACAUGGAAUAUGCAUCAUAUGUAUCAAAAUUGCCUUGCUGAGUAGUAGAUAGUUACCACAAGUUCUUUACCUACUGGUCGGUCUGUCUGUCUAUCUAUCUAUCUAUCUAUCUAUCUAUCUAUCUAUCUAUCUAUCCAUCCAUCCAUCCAUCCAUCCAUCCAUCCAUCCAUCCAUUUAUUCAAAUUACAAACAACUGACUUUUGAAAAGCUACUGUACUUCUCAGAAAAGAUUUUUUCCAUGUUGAUUUAACAGAUAAUUUUUUAAAGAGUAGUCUCUUCACACAUUUUCACCACAGGUGAAAAUGGAAACCCUGGUCACUGAGAGACCAUGGGGACUCAUGCUCUGUGAUAUGAUCAGCUUGUUAGGAUUUUGUCUCAAACUACUUUUGCUUUUUUGUUUUCUUUUUCCUUUUUUCCCCCCUUAACCCCCUUAGCAUUAGCAGAACUACUUUUUUCAUUAAAACUGCAUCUUCUUUAUAGUUUGGCUUUGUCUUGCAGCAAGACUCAAAGUUCCUACAAGAGACAUUAUGAAUACUAACUAUAUCAAUAGAGGGCUGCAUCUGAGCAAUACAAAAUAUUGCCAGCUGCAACAUUUUUGUUCAAAUUUGCAUUAGAAUUUUCUAGUUAGGAAUGAAGCUUUUUAACUGAGGCCUUGUACCAGAAGUGGAUACACUCAGCAUUUUUAGUGAAUAUGUGAUUCCCAGCAGCCCAGACUCAUCAUCAAUUGGCCAAUUUUAAAGAUGUUGCCAUGAGAUUUUUCUGAGUUUUUGAAUGGUUGUCCUUUUAUUGCAUUUCAAUUGUGCAGGAUAGAAAAGACAAGUGUUCCUUCUGUGGAUAAAGUUUUUGGUUAUUGAAUGUGUACCCAUUACUCUAUACACUCUCUGCUAUUUGCCUUCAAUUCUGAAGUGAAAGUAAGAGCUUUUUAGACUGCUGAAAAAGUCCCUGGAUUGUGGGAUUGCUCAGGGAGAGCCAAGAUACCAAACACCUGUUUUUCACUAAACUUGAGGAUGUUGGGUAGGUCAAGAGGGGAGCUGUGGGUUAGCUCAUUCCACUGUAAAGCAAUGAAAGCCAUAAAAUAUUAUGAGCAAAAAGCCACCUGUUCUUGAAUUAGUGCUUGCCAUCUACCUUUGUGGUUUGAAUGGAAAGUUCAGUACCUAGGCAGCCUGUUUUCCUUUUGCUCUGACUUAGCCACAGUGUAUCAGUUUAUACAGUGCCUUCCCAACCAGCUUCAUCUCAAAAUGUAAAUGCAGGUGUACAAAUGCAUCCCUUCCUCUCCCAGGCACACCACACUAACAGGAAAACAACUUUUCUGGAAAUAAAGAAAAAAAUAGUGUCAGAAACUGCAUUCAAUGUCAAAGUACUGGAGAUGAAUUUCAGGAAGAUAAAUCUGUCAUGAUGAAUGGCUGCAAGACCACUCCUUGAUUUACUCCAGGUGCUGUAUUUUACAAGAGUAAAUGCUUUCCAAGCAGCAGCUCUCCUCUGGCAGCUUCACAGUCCUCUUUUGUUGGACAGGAAACUUGAUGGUCUUGGUUUGUUGAGAUUUAAAAUGUAAGUGUGGAAGAAAAGAGCUGAUCUUACAGAGGAGCCAUGUACCUGACAGAGGUGCUCUGAAGGGGCCCUGCUAUCCCAUUACUACAUUGUCCAAAAGACAGCUGGCUGAAGGCAAGAAAACCAGCUUGAGAGAGUUUUAUCAUGAGGUGCCUCAGGAGGCUGUAGCCUAAAGAGAUUUACUCUGUCCUGCUGAAGGUAAUGUCUGUGCAGCUGCCUCUCAGGGACUAAAUGCCAUACAGGUGUGUUUAUUUUGGGUUUCAGAAUGAAUCCUUUGGCUCUUGUUCUUCUAAAGAUUACUUUUUGUUGCUGCUCUCAGUGAUCCUUCCGUGCCUGUUUUUGCCUGUGGCUCAGGCUAUUUAGCCUGUUGUAUUUGCUAAGUGUGCAUGCACUUCAGUGGGCUCUGGAAGGUGAGCCUGGGGUGGCCAUGUCAUGUUCCCAGGAGAAACUGGCUUUUCUUUAAGUCCAUGGCUUUUAGGAUAUUCAGGACAACUGUUAUUUGCUGUUAUUAAUUUACCUAUGAUGCCUAAGUGAGACCUACACUUAUCCUCCCCUUCUCAUAUUGUCAGUGAAGGGAGAGCACAUCCUUGAGGUAGUGAUUCAGGUGGCACCUCACAGGGCUGAGGCACCAUUUCUGGAGAUUCAACUCCUCCUCUCCCUCUCCCUCUCCCUUUCCUCAGGAGAAGUUCACCUUGCUUGUGUUUAAAUGGCUUGAUAUUUUCACAUUUCUCUGUGGAUUUUUUUGUUUAAAAAAGAAACAUUUUCCAAAGGAAAAUAUUGCCUUAGAUAAUGCUGUAAAUUUUAGUCUUGCUCUGAUUCUUCUUAUUUUGGUAACUCUGGCUUAUUCAAACUCCAGGAUCAAGUAAGACAUGAUUAGCUCUACAACCAAACAAAUACCUAAGAAUGUUAGGAAAAUGGCAAGAAGUCAUUUCAGUCUCUGUAAGAACUACUCACAGAUUAACUGAUGGGUUUUAAGGCCAGUAUUUCAAAGUUAGCUUGCAUGACUUUUAUUACAAAUACUUUAGAAAACCUUUUAAAAAAAUCACUAAGAGAUGAAUGAAGUGCCCACUUGAUUUAGUAUUCAUACAGACUGCUAUUUACCAAAAGAAAAACCUCAUAGUCUGUUCUGCAUACUCCAAAUUGACUUCCUAAGUCUCUGAGCCUGUGCUACCAACUAUUUCUAAAGCUCUGUGGUAGCACCAUUAAUAAUCCUUUCAGUAUUCUUUUCUCUAAUAAACAUAAAUCAUUGUGAGCUCAUUUGGUAUGAGCAUGGAUAUUAUAAGUCAUUCUAUGGUAUUUAUAGAACCACUCAGGUGUGGAUCUGACUAAAACUCAAGCAACAUUGAAUUGGAUGAAAACUUGAAGAAAUCCCAUCUCAUGCUGUGAGUAUGGGUGCCACUGUGUACUGUGAUGUGAUUUUUGUCUGGAUUGUGGCAAGUGAGACAAUGAGGGAGAUGCACAACUGAUUCCUCCUCUGAUUGGAGAAGGCUCCCUGUGGCACCCCAGGAUCACAGUGGGACUCCAGGCAUUGGCACAGGGUGUGAAUCCCCUGCACACAAAGGCAGGGCUGGUGAGGCUGGUCCUGUUCUUUUGCUUCUCUCUUUGGUUGCUCAGGUUAGUGAUGGCAAAGGUGUCUCCUUCUUGGAUGGGGAUGCUGGCUACAGAGCAGGGCUGCUGCUGUUGGCUCUUUGUUUCUUGUAAAGCUCAUCUCUCAGAGCUGAGAUGGUGUGUGUGAAUCAUGGCUCUGAUAUUGUCAGGAUGGGGACUUUUGCUGUGAACAGGUCUGAAGCUGAAAGAGCAGCAAGCAGGUCCUCCUCAGAUGGCUUUUCAGCCAGUCUAAGUUGUUAUUGCUCUAUGUGAAUCCAAGAAUAAUUUCCACAAGUGGAUUUUUCCUGCUCACAGCAGAAUUCCCCCAGCUGUGGGGAAAGGUGAAGUGAUGGGCAAAUAUGUGUGCAGUAUCACAAUAUGUUCAUUGCCUU